UACGUAGGGCGCGAGCGUUGUCCGGAAUUAUUGGGCGUAAAGAGCUCGUAGGCGGCCGGUUGCGUCUGCUGUGAAAUCCCGGGGCUUAACCCCGGGCGUGCAGUGGAUACGGGCCGGCUGGAGGCAGGCAGGGGAGAAUGGAAUUCCCGGUGUAGCGGUGAAAUGCGCAGAUAUCGGGAGGAACACCGGUGGCGAAGGCGGUUCUCUGGGCCUGUACUGACGCUGAGGAGCGAAAGCAUGGGGAGCGAACAGG
rnacentral:rRNA from 1 species